UGCCUAACACAUGCAAGUCGAACGAGAAAGCCGGUAGCAAUACUGGUGAGUAAAGUGGCGUACGGGUGAGUAACACGUGGAUAACCUACCUUCGAGCGGGGAAUAACCCUGGGAAACCGGGGCUAAUACCGCAUGACAUCCGGAAACGAUGUUUCUGGAUUGAAACUCGCAAGAGGCUCGAAGAGGGGUCCGCGGCUGAUUAGCUAGUUGGUGAGGUAACGGCCCACCAAGGCUAUGAUCGGUAGCCGGCCUGAGAGGGCGGACGGCCACACUGGAACUGAAACACGGUCCAGACUCCUACGGGAGGCAGCAGUGGGGAAUUUUGCGCAAUGGGGGAAACCCUGACGCAGCAACGCCGCGUGGACGAUGAAGCAUCUUGGUGUGUAAAGUCC
rnacentral:rRNA from 1 species